AGAACGAACGCUGGCGGCAUGCCUAAUACAUGCAAGUCGAACGAACUCUUCGGAGUUAGUGGCGCACGGGUGCGUAACGCGUGGGAAUCUGCCCUUGGGUUCGGAAUAACAGUUGGAAACGACUGCUAAUACCGGAUGAUGACGAAAGUCCAAAGAUUUAUCGCCCAGGGAUGAGCCCGCGUAGGAUUAGCUAGUUGGUGAGGUAAAGGCUCACCAAGGCGACGAUCCUUAGCUGGUCUGAGAGGAUGAUCAGCCACACUGGGACUGAGACACGGCCAGACUCCAGGGAGCAGCAGUAGGGAAUAUUGGACAAUGGGACGAAGCCUGAUCCAGCAAUGCCGCGUAGGAGUGAGUGGAAGGUCCGUUAAGGUUGGUAAAGUACUCGUUUUUUAACCCGAGAUAGAUAAUGACGAGUAGUACGGAGAAUAACGACCCCGGACUAACCGUACCGUACGCC
rnacentral:rRNA from 1 species